rnacentral:rRNA from 1 species
CUGAUGCAGCGACGCCGCGUGAGGGAUGACGGCCUUCGGGUUGUAAACCUCUUUCAGCAGGGAAGAAGCCACAAGUGACGGUACCUGCAGAAGAAGCGCCGGCUAACUACGUGCCAGCAGCCGCGGUAAUACGUAGGGCGCAAGCGUUGUCCGGAAUUAUUGGGCGUAAAGAGCUCGUAGGCGGUUUGUCGCGUCUGCUGUGAAAGCCCGGGGCUCAACCCCGGGUCUGCAGUGGGUACGGGCAGACUAGAGUGCAGUAGGGGAGACUGGAAUUCCUGGUGUAGCGGUGAAAUGCGCAGAUAUCAGGAGGAACACCGAUGGCGAAGGCAGGUCUCUGGGCUGUUACUGACGCUGAGGAGCGAAAGCAUGGGGAGCGAACAGGAUUAGAUACCCUGGUAGUCCAUGCCGUAAACGUUGGGCACUAGGUGUGGGGGACAUUCCACGUUCUCCGCGCCGUAGCUAACGCAUUAAGUGCCCCGCCUGGGGAGUACGGCCGCAAGGCUAAAACU